UACGUAGGGGGUAAGCGUUGUCCGGAAUCAUUGGGCGUAAAGAGCGUGUAGGCGGUCCGGUAAGUCGGCUGUGAAAGUCCAGGGCUCAACCCUGGGAUGCCGGUCGAUACUGCCGGACUAGAGUUCGGAAGAGGCGAGUGGAAUUCCCGGUGUAGCGGUGAAAUGCGCAGAUAUCGGGAGGAACACCUAUGGCGAAGGCAGCUCGCUGGGACGUUACUGACGCUGAGACGCGAAAGCGUGGGGAGCAAACAGG
rnacentral:rRNA from 1 species